AGGAUGCAAUGAAAGAACAGCCAUAAAUCAUGCCAUACACGACAGACCAAGAAGGCCCUGAAACCCGGGGUGGGCAAGCUUUUCUGCAAAGAACCAGGACUUCAGAGGAAUUCAGUAUUAUUCUCUCUUCUGAAGAUGAAGAGACACAAUCUUGCAAACAAGCCCUUCUCACCAGGCCUUGGACAGCGGCUCGUGCCAAUUCUGGCCUCAAAUGCCAGCCAGCUUUGGAAAUUAGACUGGUCUUCUGCAAGCCCUGGCGGGGAGUACGAGCGCUGGUUUGUGAGGUGUGGAAAGCCAAUCUGCUUAUGGCACAAGACUUCCGGAUAACCGCAGCCAAGUGCAGAGAGGGAAAAACAGCCUCCAAGGUAACCAGGGUGUAGCCAAGAAAGAACAAGGCUGCCACCCAACCUUGACUCUGCCUCCCCCGGGCUGGCCAGGCCCCUGAGGGGACAUAAGGAGACGUGGUCCGGGCACAGGACCUGUGAGAUUGGAGACUGAAACUGGCCUUUUGAGAGAACAGGACCAAAGCCAGAAACUCCCAGAGACACUCGAGAUGGCUCGUUUUCCCAGAGGGAGGCCCAUGUCACCUCCUGAGCCACCGCGAGCUGCUGUUAUUGUCACAUUUCAGAAAUGCAUGGAAAGUGAGUCCAGGUCUGAGACAAGAUUUUCAGUUGACGGGG
ensembl:lncRNA